AAGAUUAAGCCAUGCAUGUCUAAGUAUAACAAUCUAUACUGUGAACUGCGAAUGGCUCAUUAAUCAGUUAUAGUUUAUUUGAUAAUACCUUACUACUUGGAUAACCGUAGUAAUUCUAGAGCUAAUACAUGCUAAAACCCGACUCUCGGAAGGGUUGUAUUUAUUAGAUAAACCAAUGCGGUCUCGGCCGGUUAUUUGGUGAUUCAUAAUAACUUUGCGAAUCGUAU
rnacentral:rRNA from 1 species